rnacentral:misc_RNA from 1 species
AAAAAAAGCAUCUACAAGAUCCAUGUUAUGGGAAGUUAAAUCUUUAUAUAUUUGCAAAAUAUUCCUAAUUAGGAACACAAUCAUAGGAUUAUUCGUAUUUAAUAAGACACAAUCAUAGCAUGCAUGGUAUCAGAGCCUAGAUUGAGUUGUGGAUUUUAGCCACUUAUAAGGUUAUAUAAUUGGGCCAAUAUUGGAUUAAACUAUAUGGUUGCACUUGAAAGGGAAGUAUUAGGGAUCUCACAUUGAAAAAAUAAAAGGGCAAAUAUAAAUUAUUCAAAAUUCAAAAAUAAAAAAUAAAAAAAACACUUUCAGUUAUGACUUGUCCAUAAUUAUGUUAAAUCAAAAACCAUAUAAAGUACAAACUGCUACCUUUAUAGGUCCAAGCAAACCAU